UACGUAGGGUGCAAGCGUUACUCGGAAUUACUGGGCGUAAAGCGUGCGCAGGCGGUUCUAUAAGACAGAUGUGAAAUCCCCGGGCUCAACCUGGGAACUGCAUUUGUGACUGCAUCGCUGGAGUGCGGCAGAGGGGGAUGGAAUUCCGCGUGUAGCAGUGAAAUGCGUAGAUAUGCGGAGGAACACCGAUGGCGAAGGCAAUCCCCUGGGCCUGCACUGACGCUCAUGCACGAAAGCGUGGGGAGCAAACAGG
rnacentral:rRNA from 1 species